rnacentral:misc_RNA from 1 species
GGAGGCUGCUACUCAGAGAUUCUUGGAGUAUUCUGAUCUUAACAAAGUCUUGAACAGUGAUAAAGAAUUAGAAUCAAACAACACCGAUGGGAAGGUAAUCAGGAAGUCAUUCUCAACACCUAGUCUGACAGAAGUCGUUGAUGGCGGUCUUGCAUUUGCUCAUUAUUGUCUUACUGGUAACGAACUCCUCCGACUUUGUACCGGAGCCAUCCCAGGGACCCGUGACUACGACGGACAGCACUGUAAGGACUUACAUCUCCUGCCUCCUCAGGUUGAAAAUCCUAUCUAUACAUGGUAAAAACAAAGAAAU